CUCAACCUCUUUCUCCUUUCAAUCUUGGCACCACACUUCAACCUCUCCUUUCUCUUAAUUUCAAUUCCUUUCAUUUUCUGGUAGAGACAAAGGAGACACGUUUUAUCCCUGGACCCAAAACUCCAGCGCCGGUCACGGACUGGGGAAGGCAGCCUUCCCUUGGUGUUUAAUCAUUACAGGGACACCUCUCUGAUUAUUCACCCAGGUUUCAGUGGUGUCAGACCACGCAGGGACGCCUGCCUUGGUUCUUCACCAUUAGCAUCAAGUCCUGCUUUUCUGGGGAAGAGGACCCCAUUGGAAAUCGGACUGUCCAACUCACCUGGCAGCCACUCCCAGAGCCCCUGGAACUCUGGCCCAAGGCUCUCUGACUCCUUCCCAGAUCUUCUUGGCUUAGCGGCUGAAGACUGACGCUGCCCGAUCACCUCGGAAGCCCCCUAGACCAUCACGGACGCUGAGCUUUGGGUAACUCUCACAGUGGAAGGUAAGUCCGUCCCCUUCUUAGUCAAUACGGAGGCUACUCACUCCACA
rnacentral:lncRNA from 1 species